rnacentral:rRNA from 1 species
CAAUAGCGUAUAUUAAAGCUGUUGCGGUUAAAAAGCUCGUAGUUGGAUUUCUGUCAAGGACAACUGGUCCGCCCUCCGGGUGAGCACAUAGUUUGGUCUUGGCAUCUUGCUGGAAACUGUUACUGCGCUUGGUUGUGUGGUGCAGCUUUCAGCACUUUCACUUUGAGGAAAUUGGAGUGUUUCAAGCAGGCACAUGCCUUUGGACACAGUAGCAUGGAAUAAUUAGAUUGGGCUUUUGCUCCAACUUGUUGGUUCCUGGAGCUGAGGUGAGAAUCAAUGGGGAUUGUUGGGGGCAUCCGAAUUUAGCCGUCAGAGGUGAAAUUCUUGGAUCUGCUAAAGACGGACAACUGCGAAAGCGUUUGCCCAGGAUGUUUUCAUUG